UUCCUGGUGAUGAACUAAAAUGGGUCAAACUCUGCACAGAUGAUGACCUUGUCGCAGUUGCCUCUUUAAAGAAUUGGACAACCAAACUCAUGCCAAGCGUUUGAUUGGUAGGAGCUUCUGUGACACCGCUGUCCAAGGUGGUAUCAAGAACUGGCCAUUCAAUAUUCUAUCUGGUCCAGCUGACAAGCCCAUGAUUGAGGCCUCAUACAAGGGAGAAGAGAAGCAGUUCGCCGCUGAGGAAAUCUCAUCCAUGGACUUGAUUAAGAUGCGUGAGAUUGCUAAGGCAUACCUUGGUUCUAUAGUUAAGAACUUUGUUGUUACAGUCCCUGCAUACUUCAACGAAUCUCAGCGUCAAGCUACAAAGGAUGCUAGGUCGUUGCUGGUCUUAAUGUUAUGGGUAUCAUCAAUGAGCCUACGGCUGCUGCCAUUGCCUGGUACUAGUCCUUUUUAAUUUUUCAUGUUUAUUACUGACUAAUGCUAGUUUGUUUAUAUGUAUGCACUUUGCAAAAUGAAUUGAGAAUUCAGACUAAUUCAAACUAAUACUAGUUUAUUUACUGACUAAUACUAGUUUGUUUAUAUGUAUGACUUUACAAAAUGAAUUGAGAAUUCAAAAGAAGCUUACCAGUUCACUAAGGAAAGAUAUCAGGUAAUGAUGGAGGAUUUGAUACUAACUGUAACAUUAGCUAUAUGUAAUGCUUGCUCUUUCUCAAUGAGUGGAUAUUUAUUACAUGGGUAUGGUUGCUUUUUAUUAUAUUCUUUUUGUUGUUAUAUAAAUAAUAGUAAAAUUUAAGUACUGAACUUAUUUAUAAUAAACAAGUUGAUGCUCUUCAGUGCUAUCUUUCCAACUGAGAUACAGGUUCGUCUUUGCCACUUUUUCAUCUGGUUGAUUAAAUGAUUCUAUUCCACUAAGUAUGAGAAUAACUUUCUUACUCUAUUUGGUUUGUUGUUUCAGACGAUGGAUUAUGAUUUUCUUAUUUUGAUGGAGUUGAUAGUGGUGUCAUUGUGCCAUCUGAGAUUGUACACUCAAUUGACAUUCAUCCUUCGCGAAAGCAUGCCUGCGGCACAAAUACUGAAGAAAAUGUUUAUGAGAAUCAUGUCACUCAGGCGCUCAAGAGGAUAUAAUCCAAGAUUAUUGGCUCUAUGGUGUUGAACACAAUCAUGAUUCACAAUUAAAUAUGGUAUGUCCAGAUUUUCCAAGACUGCACCGUGUUCAGAUUACUAAUAGGUUACCAAUUAGGAAUAGGUUACCAAUUUAUCCAGAAUGUCAGGGAUAUAUCGACGUCACAAGUAUAAUGAUUUUUGCAAUAAUAUAUUUAUUCCUUCGUAUGUAUCUGGAGUUUGCUAUUUCUUCUCUAACUUAGGUUUAUA